GUAACGGCGAGUGAAGCGGUAACAGCUCAAAUUUGAAAUCUGGCUCCUCGGGGCCCGAAUUGUAAUUUGUAGAAGAUGCUUUGGGUCUGGGCCUGGCCUAAGUUCCUUGGAACAGGACGUCGUAGAGGGUGAGAAUCCCGUAUGCGGCUGGCGCCCGUGCCCGUGUAAAGCUCUUUCAACGAGUCGAGUUGUUUGGGAAUGCAGCUCUAAAUGGGUGGUAAAUUUCAUCUAAAGCUAAAUACUGGCCAGAGACCGAUAGCGCACAAGUAGAGUGAUCGAAAGAUGAAAAGCACUUUGGAAAGAGAGUUAAACAGUACGUGAAAUUGUUGAAAGGGAAGCGCUGGCAACCAGACUUGGGCGCUGUUGAUCCGCUAGGGUUCUCUCUAGGGCACUCGGCAGCGCGCAGGCCAGCAUCGGUUUGGGGGGUUGGAGAAUGGCUGGUGGAAUGUGGCUGUCUUCGGGCAGUGUUAUAGCCACCGGUGGCAUGCAGCCUCCCCGGACCGAGGACCGCGCUUCGGCUAGGAUGCUGGCGUAAUGGUUGUCAGCGACCCGUCUUGAAACACGGACCAAGGAGUCUAACAUCUAUGCGAGUGUUUGGGUGUUAAACCCAUACGCGGAAUGAAAGUGAACGUAGGUGAGAACCCGUAAGGGUGCAUCAUCGACCGAUCCUGAUGUCUUCGGAUGGAUUUGAGUAAGAGCAUAGCUGUUGGGACCCGAAAGAUGGUGAACUAUGCCUGAAUAGGGUGAAGCCAGAGGAAACUCUGGUGGAGGCUCGCAGCGGUUCUGACGUGCAAAUCGAUCGUC
rnacentral:rRNA from 1 species